ACAGGACAGACAGAACAACAGACAGAACAGCAACAGACAGGACAGACAGAACUGCACCUGAUAGAUUUGCUUGUUGCCGAUUCUGAUUCAGAACAAGGACAGACAGAACGACAGGCAGAAAACCACCAACAGCAGCAGUUCGAGCAGAGGUCGAAGAUUAGAGCCUUACUAUACAACUAUAACUAUACAUGAACCAAGAGUUCAUGUAUAGUUAACGAAGCACUGGCACCACAUUUCAUGAAUGAGUUGGUGGUACAAAUGAGGGAAGGGCCAUACACCCUCAUCACAGAUGGAUCCAAUGACACAGGAGUAGAGAAGAUGAACCCCCUGACUGUCCGGAUGUUUAUGAAUGAAAAAAUUGUCCACCGCUUCCUGGGGAUGUGUACUACUAGCGGAACAAGGUGUGGGACAGCAGACAUCAUCUUCAGCAAGAUAAAUGCCACCUUAGCAGAAAAGGCUAUCCCAUGGAAAAACUGUGUGGGUCUCUCUGUGGACAAUGCUGCUGUGAACAUAGGUUCAAAGAAUUCCAUCACCUCCAGAAUCCUGAACGAACACUCCAGUAUUUACGUUCAUGGUUGCCCGUGUCAUAUAGUCCACAACACCACUAAAAGAGCUGGGAUGGGAUUUUUGGACGGGAGUAUAGGCCUAAUUGUACUUUACAUACAACUGUCCAAAUUUGAUCUGGAGGACUUGGUAAUUGAUGUUGGCUACUGGUUCAAGGGUAGCACAAACCGAAAGGGGUACUUGACAGAUGAUAAUCAGGCAAGGUUCAGGAGACUUCAGAAGGCAUUCUCUGACCCCAUGACGGAGGUGUACCUACUGUUCUUCCAGGCUACCAUACCAGUAUUCACCUCAUUCAACCUCCUGCUCCAGAGAGAACAGUCCUCAAUAUUUUUGUUACAUGAUGAGAUGAUGAACUUCAUUCGCAAGCUGUGCACCAAGUUCACGGUGCCUUCCAGCGCUGCAGGAAGACAAACCGCUCUUGCUUUUUAAAGAAAAGGCAAACCAUUUGCCAGGUUUCCCAACCUGCUCCCCUACCAUGGGCCUCAGGAGUAUAACCUACUGAAUGAUGAGUUCCUGGAAUACCAGACUAUGCCAAUACCACCCUUGCAGGCCCCAGAGGAAAUUGAGAUGGAGAGCUUCUGGGCUGAAAUGGCUACCCGAAAACACAAGGUGACUGGUGUAAGCCUGUUCCCGGGGCUUGCCACCAUUGCCAAGAUUGUCCUGGUGCUCCCCCAUUCAAAUGCUGAUGCGGACAGAGUGUUUUCUGUGGUGGGACUAAACAAGACCAAGACCAGAAACAGCCUUGCUCUGGAUGGCACCCUUUCAUCAAUAAUGACGAUAAAAAUGGCUGGAGCCCUGCUUCAAGUGGGAGACCCCCCAGCAAUCAUCAAGGCCUCUAAGAAGGCAGUUCAGUAUAACAAGGCACACAGAUCUUAAAGAUCCCGUGUGUAAAGUGUUUAGUUGUUCAAAAUCUGUGUAGCUCAUUCACAAACUUCAUGAAUAUUUACCUCCACCAUCAAUUCCAAGUAUUCCUAUUGGCUUGAAAUUUUACAUUUGCAUUCGCAUGAACUGGAGUAGACGCGCCAUAUUCAUGCACCAUCUUGAAACACGUUAGCCAGUAAGGGACAUACAGGACAUACUGCUCCGCCUUUCACGUUUUCUCUGUCACAUGAUAAAUUCA